GGCAUGGGAGCGUAUUGUCCCAUUGCAAUCACUUCCGCUGCUUUCGAGCGAGGAAAAUUCAGAGGUCCCGACCGCACACGCACGUAAAUGGUUUCGUGGUAGAACUCAUCAAAAUGAGGCUCGUAGUGUGCUUUUCAUAAUAAGAGAUGUAUUAGCCAAUCUUACUGAGAAGCAGGUAUUUUUUAUAUUAUCAUGUCAUUUUUUUUUUCUUAAUUUGCUUUGUUUAUAGUAAUAUAACGCAGUGCUCCACCAACUAAAAAAACUCAUAUAUAUAAGAGUGGUGAAAUGCUAAAUUAUUAUAGCAUGCAAAAUAUUAACUACUGUACUUCGAAGAGUCAUAUACGUACACUGUGUAGUAACUUUCACUAUAAAUUCUAGACCCUGCUAUAUAUAAAUUUUAUUAUUGCUAAAGAGAUAUGUCACAAUCAUAUUAUGUUUUUUAUAAAUAAUGGUAGUUGUCAUUAACAUUAUUCACUUCAUAUUGAAAAUUUUAAAAUAUAUAUUUGAGUUUAGAGUUGAAUUCUUAAUAUAAGCCUGUUAUUUAUCAAACUAAUUAGAGAUUAGACAAACUUUUUGUGACACAUUAAUCAUAAUAUUUUUAUUAUCUUGUAGUUUAUUUGGCAGUCAUAUUCUGAGCAACUUAUUAAUGAGUUGUCCAAAUGGUGUCGUCGAGGACGUGCUAUUUGGAUGGCUAAAAUUUCACUUAUUUGUGAAAUUCAUUGUGAAUGACACAUGAUUGAUCGUGUUAUGCGACAAUUUGGUUAUGUCCAACACAUACCUGUCCCACCUGAGUACAAACCAUUUCAUUUUAAAUACGAUAAGCGAUUUUGAGUAACACAGGAGAUUGUUAUGUUUAAUAAAACAGAACAAAAGUGGAAUGAGCGUUAUGACAAUAGUGUUCACCCCUAUUAUAUGAUCAACCAAGAAGAUUACAAUCAAUAGUAUUUCUAUCACUCCCACCUUAUAAUUGAAAAUCCAAAACAUAUUGCUCAAGUUGGAUAUCAACCAAUGGCAGGUAGACAUAAAGCAUUGGUAUGUACAUUUUUUUAAAUUUAUGUUAAUAUAUGACAAUGAUUUUUUUACCAACUAAUAUAUAAAUUUUUAUUUUUAUUUUUUAGGCUAGGGGACAUAUAAGGGUAUAUCAAAUUGCUUAAAGUCUUGUGAAUGAUAAUAAUCAAUUAGAAGAGGUGAAGCAAAGCGUAGCACAAUUUGCAUCGAUUUUCCUAGAGUCAAUGAUUGUUCUUUGGGUACGUGUUUGACUUUUGAUUUAGGGUACACAUCGGAAUGAAUAUGAGCAACCAACAUUAGUUCAAGUUCGUUGACGAUCAGCUGGACCAAGAGAGAGAGCUCGUCGAGGUGGUGGAAGGAGUGGACAACAACGGAACGAAGUUCAUGUUGAACAUAACUUAGUUGAUGAAGAAAAUUUAAGUGAUCAUGGGGUACAAUAUGAAAGUAAUUUCAAUCUGUC
rnacentral:lncRNA from 1 species